CCCCCGCCUCAGGAAGCGGCGGGCGCAUCACAUGGCCGCGCGGCGCUGCCAUAAACACGCCAAGAUGGCGGCCCUCACGCCGCCCGCCCGCCCGUGCUGCGUCACGGCGCCCCCCGGCCCCGCCGCCAGCCCUCAGGGAGGGCUCUCCAGACGGUGACGAGGAGCCAAGUUCUGCGUUUUCGCACACCUGUUUGCUUUCCGCAUCGUGGCGCGGCUGGAGCGAGGCGAAAAUCGGCGUGAGAGGAGAGGCAGCAGGUUUGGGGGAUCCCCCGGGGGAAAUGGCACUGGCCGCGAGCGGGUGCCCAGCAGAAGAGGGAGUUGGGUGGGACCGCGCACCUCUGUGGUCACGGAGCUGCUUGAAACAGCCCACGAGUAGCUGCUGGAUCUGCUUUAAACAGCCCACGAGUAGCUGCUGGAGCACGGAUAAAAUCUUCAGAUGAAGACACACCUGAACUACCAAGCGGCACCUCUUCUCUUCCCACCUCAGCCUCCAAAAUGUGGGAUUCCCCAUGCCACUCCUCUUCCAUUCUGUUGAAAUCAGUAGAUUUUUUUUUCUACUGGAAUAAUGUGGCGUGAAAAGGCUUCAGAGUGGCAGUAAAUAAUUCAUUUUUGGGGCACUUCCCUUCCUUUCCAAAAGUCACAGCUGUACGUACAGAUUUUCUUAAGCAUUUUUUACAAAGUUUUUUGGUGUUUUGUUUUUUUUUCUUGCAGCAGCAGAUGAUGUAACUAAUUACAAUCGGUGGCAAACCUGCAAGUUUUAGGGUAUACGUUUAGGUCAUCUGUGUCAUCAUCUGACGUCAGUAUUGCAUAAUCUGUUGACUGUCCCCUUUUUAUGUAAUGUAUGUUUGCAGUUUGUUUGAAAAUGUACAAAUAUUUUUUUCCACUGCGUGCUUCUCCUCAGAUAUUUCAUACUUGUCUCUCCAUUGCCCUCUUCUGUUAAAAACUUGUAAGGCACCAUUUUGGUAGCUGGAUCCCUCUCAGCGUUACGCCUUUCUCUUUUAAAAACAACCUCUGAACAUCUCCAGACAUGCUCUUCUCCAGGUAAGUUUUUUAGAGCAGUAAACCACAUCUGGAGUUUCUGCUCCCUCCUGUUAGAGAUACGAGAGCAGCUUGUACUGAGGAAGUCCAUCAGCAUCGUAAAUUAACUUUUUAUAAAAACAUGGUAACUUUGGGUUAAAAAGAAAAGUGUUAUUUUUUAAACUUAUUUCAGAAGUUAACAUGAUUCCCUUAACCAGAGGUGUACGCGUGUAGAAGUAGUUCCAUGAUCUUUUCAGCAAUACCUUUUUUAAAAAAAGUGGGGUACAAACUACUGGUUGAUACAAGUUUGACUUGCGGUAGAAGUUUUUAUUUCACAAUUCUGUGUUUGGAUCCUGUGACCUAAAAGUUCCAGUGGCACACUUGAGCCUGCAGAGCCUCGAGGCACCCCUUCGGCCUCUUCCAGCUGCUGUCCCUCGAGAGCACAGCUGGCUGCUCGGCGCCCGGCGCUGCUCCCGUCGGAGCCCUCGGUAGGCACAGGAGCGAUCGCAGCUCUCGCAGCGCAUGUGACAAGCCCUGAUGAAGCCCAGCUGAACGUGUUCACGGCGCUGUAAAAUUCCACGGCUGCCUGGGCGAGCGCCCGGCGCGCUGGGUGCAGUAUGCAGCACGGUCGCGGUGUGGUGCUGCCCUCUACUCGUGCCGGUCGUGAUCCCAGCCUUCGGCUGUCGCACGCGGUGCAGCUCCGCCGACUUACCUGGCUCGCAGCCACGGCUGCCUGCUGGCUGUCUGGUUCAUGACACUCGGUUCUUGAGUAGCAUAAACCAAGCGCUGCUCUGCAGCUCCAGCGAGUUUAAGGGGGAGAAAGGGUACCCUCAUUUUCUCCAGCAUUGAGCGGUAAGUUAACCCUUCUCCGUUAAAUCCAGCAUUAGUGAAUUGGAUUUUGAAGGCUGUUUUGGUCACUGUGGUCAUUAAGGUAGCACUAAUUAUCUGGAUAAUUUUCUGAGCUGGAUCCCCACAUGCAAAGCCACUUGUGUUAAAUACUCUGAGCCUCUCACCUGGCAGCUGGGCACCCGCAGAGGGCAGUUUGGGGCUCGGAGGCGUGCAAAGGAUGAGAAGACAGAGGAAGCACCUGGCAGUGCCGUGGAGGGGCCGCGAUGACUGACAGGCUGCCCUGGCUCAGUUAUCACAGUGCUGAUGCUGUCUCUUGUAAAGGUACAGUACUGUGAUAACUGAAGGAUGGCAGCCAUCUGAGCUUCACGGGGCCCGUGCCCGCCGCGCCCCAUCCCUUUGAUUCCAGGAGCUGACGGACGGACAGAUGUACACACAACAUCCUACUCAAGUGUCCCCGUUCUAAACAAACCUCUUUGUGUAAAAGUCAUGGUUUAAGGAAACUUGAGAUAGACUUGAAUAAAAAUUGUGCUUUACUGGGA